rnacentral:lncRNA from 1 species
CCUAGACUACACCCGUGAGUGGGGAGGGAAUGAUCAUUAUUACAGGUACCGUUGGUGACUCGGUUCUGUUGGUGACUUGGUUCUGAUGGUGACUUCGUGUUCAGACAGUGUUCAGUUGACCUUAAGUUGGAUUUAUGUUCUGAUUUUGACUGAAGCUUCGACCUAGUAAUCAGAGAUUGCACAACCAGCCAGUCGUGUCUGCAUCAUGUGCAUCAUCGCAUAUUUAUUUUUCAAAAGAAACGCAUUGAAAAAAAAGAAAAUGAAAAAAAAAAAAGAAAAAAAAAAAAGAAAAAAAAAAAAAAAAAAAAAACUAAUCUCUGCAUGCAUAUCAUUUCUCAGGUAC